rnacentral:rRNA from 1 species
GCCAGGGAACUACGAGCUAAGCUUAAAACCCAAAGGACUUGACGGUGCCCCAUAUCCCCCUAGAGGAGCCUGUCCUAUAAUCGAUGAUCCCCGUUUGACCUCACCGCUUCUUGCUAAAUCAGCCUGUAUACUUCCGUCGUCAGCUUACCGCAUGAGCGAAAUUCAGUUAGCCUAAUGUCCCACCCUAACUUAUACCGUCAAUACGUCAGGUCAAAGUGCAGCAAAUGAAGCGGAAAGAGAUUGGCUACACUUUUUAGCAUAAAAAAUACGAAAAACAAAAAUGCAAAUUUGUUAGAAGGUGGAUUUAGAAGUAAAAAGAAUUCAUCAAAUUCAUUUUAACAAGGCACUGGAGCGUGU